GGUUCCCUCCUUUUUCUUUUCCUCCGAGGCGGGAGACCACUUCUGGAAACGCUUAAGCGAUUGAAUAUGGAUGACUUUGUUAAACUAAAGUUACCAGAAUGGCAACUUCUGGAGCUGAUGGACCAUUUUGCAGGCUCCAGAGACUACAUUUCCCUGAUGGUUCUGCCAAGCCUGAUGCCACCUGCAGUCUUCAGGAUGGGCCUGAAAGACCGUGAGGACUACAGUGUCUGACGCCAUGAAGGCCUUCAUCGAUCUUAAGCCUGUCGGAACAAACAUGGUGGAGUACCUUGAGGCAGCAGACCAGACCAGGCCGUACCCCUACACCCUGGUGUUGGGAGGAGAGGAGUGCUGCUCACAGCCAUUCACCGUUCUCAGUGGGCCGGCCCUGGAGCAGGACAGCGGUGUCCAAGCUGGACAUGUUUGUUUCAAAAGUUUUUAUGUGUUCAAUAUCAAUUUCCCAAAGCAGUGUUUCUCUGCUUGGCAUUUCCUCCAGGAGGCUGUCUAUGGAAGGGGGGGGGGGUAAUGUGGCCCCAUGCGUUUGAGUUUUGGAAAUUCUCAUGUGAUAAGGGAAUUCUGUCUCUCUGCCUCUCUCUCUGUCUCUCUCGCUGUCUUUCUGUCUCUGUCUGUCUGUCUGUCUCUCUCUCUCUAAUAUUUAGGAGGAAUAUAAGGAGGAAAUUAAUUAUUGUUAAUAAUUGUUGCUUGGUAUUAUUAUUCCAGUUAUUUGAUACACAUUUUGAAAUGAGGUAGGGGUAAUGUGGCCCCAUGCAUUUCUUUUUUGGAAACACUCAUGUGAUAAGGGAAUUGGGCUUGUUAUUGUUAUUCCAGUUUUUCAGUUUUUCUCUUUAAAUGAGUAAAUUAAAUAUUGUUCAAUAAAAUCAGUGACAUUAAUGAAGUGUAUGCAUUGUGUAUUAUUAUUAUUAUUAAAAAUAUAGUAAUUUUAUAGAUUAAAGAAUAACUAAAUGAAUGGGUCAAAUAUCAACCCAACAAGGGGGUCAGUUGAACUCAUUAUUGGGCUGGUGGGU